AACUUAUCAAGAAAGGCUGAGGGUUAUGGCCCGUUGAAGCCUUGACAACCUCCCUGCUGGCGCAGCCACAGGAAAGGUGCCAAUUCCAUCCCAUUUGUAUCAGUAUACUGAGCAAUGGGGCAGAUAAGUC
rnacentral:ncRNA from 2 species